AAGAUUUACUGCGCUGAAAAAGUAUUUCUACGACUUAACCAAGGUCGGUUAAAUCCUCUAACAAGCGGCUUACAAAGUCAAGAGAGGCGACUCGUCUUAUCUGCGAAUUAGAGUCAAUUCGCGCGUCUGGAAUGAUGCAUCCGUGGAGAGGGCUCCUGAAUGCAUAGCAACGUCAAAUAACAACAAGUACAUUACGUCAGAGACACAACGACGUCGCGUACAGCAUACGAAACAGCGUCCCCAGUCAAUAGCAAGUUGCUCUGCUACGAUCAUCACAGCACCAAGAAUUACACGUGGUAUUUCAACUACGCGACUAGCCGACCGAGACCUUUGCGUUGUUCGAGAAUCCGUCAUAUGCCUAGCAGUCAGUGAACGAAAGGAUGGAAAGAAGCAAGAGAACGAAAAGGUCCAAGGUGAUGGAAAAGAAAGAGCCAGACCAAAGUGAAAGAGAGAUACGGAUCGGCAAGGUGAAAGAACGAAGAAAGACAAACGAAGGGCACGAACGCGUAGAACGGAACGAAAUUCCUGACCAACCAGCGUACCGUGGUAUUAACCCAGUUCAACCUGGGCAUUAUUGAUUUCGACGCCAACCAGACGGUGUGAACGAAGUUUCAUUCUUAAUACUUUUCAAGCGUUCAACGUAAGCGCGCACACGGUAUUCUCGUUGCCAACGUACGACCGAAUGGAGAGGAUCGAUUAUCGGGUUGAAACCAGCAGCAAGCGAACCAACCAACCACUCGACUUGUGUAUAGCGGGGCAAAGAGCGAGUCUGGCCCGGAUUCUGCUCCCGCCAAAUCCCUCUCCUUCUCUCUCACUCUCUAUCGUUAUUCUCGCGACCUCGCAAGCGCGUUACUUUAUUAUUAUUUCGUCGUUAUCUCGAUUGCCUGGCUUCCGGCGAACGACGCUUUUCCCGGCAACGACUGAAAUCCCGGUUGCUGUUCCCGUCGUUUCCCGCCGCUUUCAUUCCGCCCGUAUCGCCCCGGCGAAAAUUACUUUCCGCCAAAGAGGUAUACACACACACAGCUCUAAGCGGAUAUCGAUGUAGGCGCGCCACCCUAGUGUUUCCGCGACACACCGCGAACGCUUCGAAACGAUUUAAUUCUGCGAAUACCUGGACAAUUGGCCAGGCACAACCGUCCGACGGAUACAUUCUUACGAAAUCGUUUCGCGGGAAUGUGAUCCGGAUCCACGGCACGCCGAUAUUUCAGACCGAGCCAUCAGCGGUGCAGAUCGCAAGGUCGUUCGGAGGAGCGGCCACGAAAAAGAGGACUUCCUUCGUGGAGGAGGAUGAACAGAGGCGCUGGAGCCGAGGCAAGACAGAGAGCCAGUUAUAUUAGGCUUGAAAGAAAUCGCCGAUCGCCGGUCUCUGCCUUUCUAAUUAAUUAUCAUACUCGACUGCCACGGUCCAUUUGCGUUAGUCACACGCUUCUGGAAAGCACAAAGUGGCGGCGAUAUAGGUGCCGAAAGAAUCUUUAGCUCGAAAAAUUCCUCGCGUAGGAUGGAAUUUCACCAGAGAAAGCGUUAUAUAUUCGCAUGUUUUAUUCAUUCGCAAUUGAGUCGUUUUAGUAGGAGAUUUUGGGACUUUGUCAUCGUCGAUUAUCACACGCGACCACUGAGGUGUAUUUCUGUUAGCCACGCGCUUUUGGAAAGCAAAGAACACCGAUGUAAAUGCCGAAAGAACGUUUCGCUCAAAAAGUUGCUUCUUUCAAAAAAGGAGCUGGAAUUCUUCCAGAGAAAGCGUUCUAUUGGGUCGCUUCGUUCGUUUAUUAAGACGAUGAAGUUGUUUUAACUCGAAUGUGAAAUUUUAUUACUUUUCGAUGGAGAAUGAUAACAACAAAUAGGAAGAAAUAUAUGGAUAUCCUUUUGUAAGAACGAGGUAUAGUGACAAAUAUAGAAUUUAGAUAGAUCGAACGUUUUGAUUUAAUGCCUGGUAUUCUUAAUGUAAUUGAUGUCUUUAUUUCCUACGGUAAAUGACAAAUGAAAGUAACUUCAGUCUCGGAUAAAAUCUGCAACAUCGGCUUAUCGAACCAACCAAUAUUUUACUAGUGGAAUUUGUAUCGAAGCAAUGUCACAGCUCUUCGUUUAAUCAUACUAUUCGUACUCAUGAGCAGUCCUCGACAAAGAAAACCUCGGAAGAAAUCGAGAAUUAAUUCUUAAACGACGCAGAAGCAACGUAUAAAUUGACAAGUGACGCAUACACUCGAGCUGCAUCAAUUUUUUAAAACUCUUGAUAAACAUUCAGCACCGAUGACUUCCGAGACAUUCCUCUACCAAUGAUACAUCACGUUCAAUCGAACGUGUCACGUUUCUUAUUCAUCGUUCGUUUCAUUUUUCUCUUUUUUUUUUUCCGUUUCCGUGACGUCGUUUUCCCGACGAGACAAAAAUCCUUGUCCCAGAACGAACGGAAGAUCGAUUAAUCACGAGAGAGGCGUAGUCGUAUCGCGUUUCGACAA